rnacentral:tRNA from 1 species
GCCGGGAUAGCUCAGCUGGCAGAGCAGCUCACUCGUAAUGAGCAGGUCGUGGGUUCGAGUCCCACUCCCGGCU